AUGAACGCUGGCGGCGUGCCUAAUACAUGCCAGUAGCACGCUGAAGGCAGGAGCUUGCUCUUUCCGGAUGAGUUGCGAACGGGUGAGUAACGCGUAGGUAACCUGCCUGGUAGCGGGGGAUAACUAUUGGAAACGAUAGCUAAUACCGCAUAACAGUAGAUGUUGCAUGAUAUCUACUUAAAAGGUGCAAUUGCACCACUACCAGAUGGACCUGCGUUGUAUUAGCUAGUUGGUGAGGUAACGGCUCACCAAGGCGACGAUACAUAGCCGACCUGAGAGGGUGAUCGGCCACACUGGGACUGAGACACGGCCCAGACUCCUACGGGAGGCAGCAGUAGGGAAUCUUCGGCAAUGGACGGAAGUCUGACCGAGCAACGCCGCGUGAGUGAAGAAGGUUUUCGGAUCGUAAAGCUCUGUUGUAAGAGAAGAACGAGUGUGAGAGUGGAAAGUUCACACUGUGACGGUAUCUUACCAGAAAGGGACGGCUAACUACGUG
rnacentral:rRNA from 1 species